rnacentral:tRNA from 3 species
GGGGCCAUAGCUCAGAUGGUAGAGCACCUGCAUGGCAUGCAGGGGGUCAGCGGUUCGAGUCCGCUUGGCUCCA